rnacentral:rRNA from 1 species
ACGAUGACCGGUCUACCACCGGGAUGUUCAUAACCCUUUGUUGUCCGACUCUGUUGCCUCCGGGGCGACCCUGCCUUCGGGCGGGGGCUCCGGGUGGACACUUCAAACUCUUGCGUAACUUUGCAGUCUGAGUAAACUUAAUUAAUAAAUUAAAACUUUUAACAACGGAUCUCUUGGUUCUGGCAUCGAUGAAGAACGCAGCGAAAUGCGAUAAGUAAUGUGAAUUGCAGAAUUCAGUGAAUCAUCGAAUCUUUGAACGCACAUUGCGCCCCCUGGUAUUCCGGGGGGCAUGCCUGUUCGAGCGUCAUUUCACCACUCAAGCCUCGCUUGGUAUUGGGCAACGCGGUCCGCCGCGUGCCUCAAAUCGACCGGCUGGGUCUUCUGUCCCCUAAGCGUUGUGGAAACUAUUCGCUAAAGGGUGUUCGGGAGGCUACGCCGUAAAACAACCCCAUUUCUAAGGUUGACCUCGGAUCAGGUAGGGAUACCCGCUGAACUUAAGCAUAUCAAUAAGCGGGAGGAA